UGGGGGAUCGUAUAGUGGCAAUACGACGGGUUCUGGCCCCGUUAACCGAGGUUCGAGUCCUCGUCCCCCAGCCA
rnacentral:tRNA from 1 species